GACGAACGCUGGCGGCGUGCUUAACACAUGCAAGUCGAACGGAAAGGCCCUGCUUUUGUGGGGUGCUCGAGUGGCGAACGGGUGAGUAACACGUGAGUAACCUGCCCUUGCCUUUGGGAUAACUUCAGGAAACUGGGGCUAAUACCGGAUAGGAGCUCCUGCUGCAUGGUGGGGGUUGGAAAGUUUCGGCGGUUGGGGAUGGAAUCGCGGCUUAUCAGCUUGUUGGGGGGGUAGUGGCUUACCAAGGCUUUGACGGGUAGCCGGCCUGAGAGGGUAACCGGCCACAUUAGGCCUGAGAUGAGACCCAGACUACAACGGGAGGCAGCGGAGGGGAAUGUUGCACAAGGGGCGGAGGCCUGGUGCAGCAACGCCGCGUGGGGGAUGACGGCCAUCGGGUUGUAUACCGCUUUCGUCUGUGACGAGGCGUGAGUGACGGUAAUGGGUAAAGAAGCACCGGCUAACUACGUG
rnacentral:rRNA from 1 species